CCCCUCUCAGGGUCGCAUCUGAAGAGUUUCCAGUACUCUACCAGUGUCGGCUAGAGGAGGGAGAGUCAAGCAGAGGCCUAUCCAUUCCAUUCCUAGUUUGAGCAGUGGCUAGUGAAUGGAAACCAAUCUGCUACAAGU